AUUGAAUGAAUUAAUGUUUCGAGCAUUGAAAUGAUAAGCGUGACAGAUAAGAAGGUAAUGGUACAGGUAUGUACGAAACCUAUGUGGUGGAUGAUGUUAAGUAUGAAGUAGAUGAAAAUUUAUGUAAAUGAAUGGGGAAAUAUUAUUCGGGCCUUUGAGCCUAGCAGGCUAUAAUGUCGGUGAGAUACUAUUCGGGCUUUCGAGCCUAGCAGGCUAUAAUGCCGAUGAAAUGAUAUCGGGCCUCGAGCCUAGCAGGCGAAAUGCUGGUGAUUUGAGAAAAGUCUAAGACUAAGGUACCUCGUGUUAGAUUGACAAAUGAAUACAUUCAAUACGUUAAGAGGGCCAGGUACGCAUUAUGUACUCAUAUGUGAGUUUGAUUUGAAUUGAAUCAUAAGUGUGAUGUGAUACAUAUGUGAAUAAAUGUUAUAACUAUAUAUAUGACCAUGAUACAUUCGGUCAAGGUGUGAAAGUAUGUGAAAGUAUUUGAUUUAUUUAUGUUAUAUGAAUUCAGAUUAAGUGUUAUAAGAAUGCUGAAUGUGCAUUAUGUGCUUGUGUAUAUUCAGCCUGAUGGAAAUAUACUUAAAAUAUGGCCUCUUGAGAAAUUGAAUAAUCGAAGUAUAAUUGCAUUUAUUUGUUUGCAUUGCUUAAAACUUAUUAAGCUUAUAAAAGCUUACUCCGUUGCUACAUUCCUCUGUUUUAUAGAUUGUUGACUCCAGUUACCUGCUCGGGUUGGAGUUCGCCGGAGAUAUUAUCACACGUCGAGCUAACACUAUGGGUGUAGUGAUUUCAAAUACUUUGAGUCUAUGGCAUGUAUAGGUGUGUAAAUAUUAGAGUAUGUGAUCUGGCUUUAACCAUAUGUGUUGGCCUAUUUUGAUUAUAGGGUUGUAAAUCCAUUUUAAUUAUGCAUGAAUGUGCUAUGGUAUUACAUGAUGAGUUUAUAAUGAUUAAAGCAUGAAUUUUCCAAGUUUUUCUUAAGUUCUCGGUUUAGUCCCGAACCACCCCAGAUAUAUGUUUUGGGUCUCGUGAACCCAUUUAAGGGACAAGAUUGUAUGUGAAAAGAAAUUUUUUUAAUUAUUUGAGAUUUCAUGGCCCUGUUUAGUAUAGAAGUGUUAGUAAAAUUCAAGUAGCACCUCGAACCCCAUCCCAGCGUCGGAUGCAGGCGAGGGGUGUUACAUGUUCCACCUUAGGGGGAAUCACCUGCGUGAGCGGGAGUAGACGAAGUGGAAGCGAGAAUGUCAGCUUGAGUAACGCAAACAUUGGUGAGAAUCCAAUGCCCCGAAAACCCAAGGGUUCCUCCGCAAAGUUCAUCCAUGGAGGGUGAGUCAGGGCCUAAGAUCAGGCCGAAAGGCGUAGUCGAUGGACAACAGGUAAAUAUUCCUGUACUACCCCUUGUUGGUUCCAAGGGAUGGAGGAGGCUAGGAUAGCACAAAGAUGGUUAUCGGUUCAAGGACACAAGGUGACCCUCUUUUUCAGGGUAAGAAGGGGUAGAGAAAAUGCCCCGAGCCAAUGUUCGAGUACCAGGUGCUACGGCGCUGAAGUAACCCAUGCUAUACUCCCAGGAAAAGCUCGAACAACCUUCAACAAAAGGGUACCUGUACCUGAAACUGACACAGGUGGGUAGGUAGAGAAUACCUAGAGGCGUGAGACAACUCUCUCUAAGGAACUCGAAAAAAUAGCCCCAUAACUUCAGGAGAAGGGGUGCCUCCUUACAAAAGGGGUCGUAGUGACCAGGCUCGGGCGACUGUUUACCAAAAACACAAGUCUCCGCAAAGUCGUAAGACCAUGUAUGGGGGUUGACACCUGCCCAGUGCCGGAAAGUCAAGGAAGUUGGUGACCUGAUGACAAGAGAGCCGAUGACCGAAGCCCCGGUGAAUGGCGGCCGUAACUAUAACGGUCCUAAGGUAGCAAAAUUUCUUGUCGGGUAUGUUUUGACCCACACGAAAGGCGUAACGAUCUGGGCACUGUCUCGAAGAGAGGCUCAAUCAAAUAGACAUGUCUGUGAAGAUGCGGACUACCCGCACUUGGACAGAAAGACCCUAUGAAGCUUCACUGUUCCCUGGGAUUGGCUUUGGACUUUUACUGCAUAGCUUAGGUAGAAGGAGAAGAAGGCCUCCUUCCGGGAGGGCCCGAGCCAUUAGUGAGAUACCACUCUGGAAGAGCUAGAAUUCUAACCUUGUGUCCAGACCUACAGGCCAAGGGACAGUCUCAAGUAGACAGUUUCUAUGGGGCGUAGGCCUCCCAAAAGGUAACGGAGGCAUGGAAAGGUUUCCUCAGGCCAGACGAAGAUUGGCCCUCGAGUGCAAAGGCAGAAGGGACCUUGACUGCAAGACCUACCCGUCGAGCAGGGAUGAAAUUUGGCCUUAGUGAUCUGACGAUGCCGAGUGGAAGGGUCGUCGCUCAACGGAUAAAAGUUACUCUAGGGAUAAUAGGCUGAUUUUCCCUAAGAGCUCACAUCGACGGGAAGGUUUGGCACCUCAAUGUCGACUCUUCGCCACCUGGGGCUGUAGUAUGUUCCAAGGGUUGGGCUGUUCGCCCAUUAAAACGGUACGUGAGCUGGGUUCAGAACGUCGUGAGACAGUUCGGUCCAUAUCUGGUGUGGGCGUUAGAGCAUUGAGAGGACCUUUCCCUAGUAUGAGAGGACCGAGAAGGACGCACCUCUGGUGUACCAGUUAUCGUGCCCACGGUAAAUGCUCCAAGUGCGGAGUGGAUAACUGCUGAAAGCAUCUAAGUAGUAAGCCCACCCCAAGAUGAGUGCUCUCCUAUCCUGACUUCCCAAGAGCCUCCGUAGCACAGCCGAGAUGGUAAGGGGUUUUCUAUCCCUGCGAGGACCGAGUGACAGAAGUUUUGAGAAUUCAAGAGAAGGUCACAGCGAGACGAGCUGUUUAUCAUUACGAUAGGUGUCAAGUGGAAGUGCAGUGAUGUACGCAGCUGAGGCAUCCUAACAGACCGGUAGACUUGAAC
rnacentral:rRNA from 1 species